rnacentral:rRNA from 1 species
GACGAACGCUGGCGGCGUGCCUAAUACAUGCAAGUUGAGCGAUGAAGCUUGGUGCUUGCACCAAUUUGAAGAGCAGCGAACGGGUGAGUAACGCGUGGGGAAUCUGCCUUUGAGCGGGGGACAACAUUUGGAAACGAAUGCUAAUACCGCAUAACAACUUUAAACAUAAGUUUUAAGUUUGAAAGAUGCAAUUGCAUCACUCAAAGAUGAUCCCGCGUUGUAUUAGCUAGUUGGUGAGGUAAAGGCUCACCAAGGCGAUGAUACAUAGCCGACCUGAGAGGGUGAUCGGCAACAUUGGGACUGAGACACGGCCCAAACUCCUACGGGAGGCAGCAGUAGGGAAUCUUCGGCAAUGGACGAAAGUCUGACCGAGCAACGCCGCGUGAGUGAAGAAGGUUUUCGGAUCGUAAAACUCUGUUGGUAGAGAAGAACGUUGGUGAGAGUGGAAAGCUCAUCAAGUGACGGUAACUACCCAGAAAGGGACGGCUAACUACGUG